GAGUGAGGAAGGGGGUGACUAGUGAAAGAGGGAGGGGUGACUUGGGACAGAGUGAGGGAGGUGGUGACUAGUGACAGUCACCACCUCCCUCACUGUCACUAGUCACCCCCUCCCUCACUCUGUCACCAGUCAUCCCCUCCCUCACUCUGUCACCAGUCAUCCCCUCACUCUGUCACUAGUCACCCCUUCCUUCCCUCACUC